rnacentral:tRNA from 1 species
GGCCCCCUGGUCUAGCGGCCUAGGACGCCGCCCUCUCACGGCGGUAACAGGGGUUCGAAUCCCCUGGGGGCUACCA